rnacentral:lncRNA from 1 species
GCAUGAUUUAUGGAGAGAGAGUCUUAGAGAACCUGAGCUCUUCGAGUCAUGAUUCUACUGAUUCAGAUUGAGUCUCAAUCUGAUGCAAAUCAAGUCUGAUUCGAGUCAAAUUCGACAAGACUGUCAAGCCUGAUCCAAUCAAGCUUGAAAUCCAAAUCUGAUUUGGAUAAUUGAACCCAAUAAAUAUUAAAUUAAAUUAAGUUUAAUUAAAUUAAAUCUAAUUUAAAUAAUUAUAACUUAACUUAUA